AGUGAACGCUGGCGGUAGGCCUAACACAUGCAAGUCGAACGGCAGCACAGUAAGAGCUUGCUCUUACGGGUGGCGAGUGGCGGACGGGUGAGGAAUACAUCGGAAUCUACUUUUUCGUGGGGGAUAACGUAGGGAAACUUACGCUAAUACCGCAUACGACCUACGGGUGAAAGCAGGGGAUCUUCGGACCUUGCGCGAUUGAAUGAGCCGAUGUCGGAUUAGCUAGUUGGCGGGGUAAAGGCCCACCAAGGCGACGAUCCGUAGCUGGUCUGAGAGGAUGAUCAGCCACACUGGAACUGAGACACGGUCCAGACUCCUACGGGAGGCAGCAGUGGGGAAUAUUGGACAAUGGGCGCAAGCCUGAUCCAGCCAUACCGCGUGGGUGAAGAAGGCCUUCGGGUUGUAAAACCCUUUUGUUGGGAAAGAAAAGCAGCAGGUUAAUACCCCGCUGCUCUGACGGUACCCAAAGAAUAAGCACCGGCUAACUUCGUG
rnacentral:rRNA from 1 species